GGAACCAAGAUGAAGUAAUGAAACAAAGACGCGAACCAGGAACUUGGGGAACCGGAGUGCACAAGGGGUAGUUUUUUUCAGAAAUGGUUUUUAAUAGGAACCUAAGGGUGCUCUGAGGGAACUAGUCCCUGGCCGCAGAGAGCAGGGCGGCCUCCCCAGCCCCUGGUUCGGGAACCGGGCAGAGUCUUGAAGAGGAGGCCCGGGCCGGGGGCGGAGCCAUCUGGGCUGCAAGAGCCGGAAAGCGGAAGCCGAGGCUGGCGGCGCCGCGGUCUACACCAGGCUCGGGUGCGGGUGAGUCACCGCCUCAGCGGGCCUGAGCCAGUGAGGACGCGCGACCGCUCUACUGCCGCCUCCAGGGCCCUGGGCCUUUGCACCUGGUUUUCUCCGAGGGGAACAAAGCCUUACCGUUGUGGCAGUGAGUGGCGGCCUAGCGCAGGCCCCUUCCCUUCGAAUCCCCUUUCUUGCCCACUUUCUUGCCCAGUCCAUUCUUUUACUUCAUGGCCCAUCACUAAACUGGUAGGUCGGGCUUGGAGAGCACGCAGUCUGUGACAGCAGACUGCCCUCUUUGGAGCGCGGGGCCGCCAGCUGCAGCCGAGGCUGGUGCGGCCGCCGCGGUCUCCAUGGUAACGGCCCCGCCGGCGUCACGGCCUUGCGGGGAAGAUGCGGCCUGCUGGGCCCGCCGCCUCGCCCCCGGCCUCUCCGCCCGGCCGUGGCCACUGAGGAGGAAGGACCCGGACUUCGGCCUGCCUGGCAGCGGGCACCAGUGAAAUCACACACUCUGGCUGGAGACACAGAUGGCCUCAAAUGAGAGAGAUGCUAUAUCGUGGUAUCAAAAGAAGAUUGGAGCAUAUGAUCAGCAGAUAUGGGAAAAAUCAAUCGAACAAACUCAGAUUAAGGGCUUCAAAAACAAACCAAAAAAGAUGGGUCACAUCAAGCCAGACUUGAUUGAUGUUGACUUAAUCAGAGGCUCAACAUUUGCCAAAGCCAAACCUGAAAUUCCCUGGACAUCUCUGACUCGGAAGGGACUUGUUCGAGUUGUUUUUUUUCCAUUGUUCAGCAAUUGGUGGAUUCAGGUUACCUCUUUAAGAAUCUUUGUUUGGCUGCUACUGCUUUACCUCAUGCAAGUUAUAGCGAUUGUGUUAUAUCUUAUGAUGCCUCUUGUGAAUGUAAGUGAAAUACUUGGACCCUUGUGCCUUAUGCUACUCAUGGGAACCGUCCACUGUCAGAUUGUAUCUACUCAGAUAACAAGGCCAUCAGGAAGCAAUGGCAAUCGGAGAAGAAGAAAAUUACGAAAAACUGUAAAUGGUGAUGGGAGCCGAGAAAAUGGAAGUAAUAACACUUCUGAUAAAGUCCGAGGAAUAGAAAAUUUGGAAUCUGCACCCAUUGUUGGUGGUUUUUGGGGGACUCUCUUUGGCAACAGGAAUAAAAAGGUAAAAUUACUAACUGACAAAGGAACUGAAACUGACAAUGAUUCAAAUUGUCUCCAUCCUAUCAUUAAGAAGAGGCAGUCUCGGCCAGAUUUUAGAAUGUGGCAAACAAGAGAGAAAGCAAAAUUUUCGGAUGGAGAAAAGUGCCGUAGGGAGGCCUACAGGCGUGUAGGUAAUGGGGUUUCAGAUGAUCUGUCGAGCGAGGAAGAUGGCGAGGCCCGGACACAGAUGAUAUUGUUGCGAAGGAGUGUGGAAGGGGCCUCAAGUGACAAUAGCUGUGAAAUGAAGAAUAGAAAAUCAAUACUUUCAAGGCACCUCAACUCUCAGGUAAAGAAAACCUCUACAAGGUGGUGUCAUAUAGUACGGGACUCAGAUAGCGUGGCUGAAUCGGAAUUUGAAUCAGCAGCCUUCAGCCAGGGCUCUAGAUCUGGCAUGAGUGGUGGCUCUCGAAGCCUCAACAUGUCAAGAAGAGACUCAGAAAGCACUCGCCAUGACUCGGAGACUGAGGAUAUGUUAUGGGAUGACCUGCUCCAUGGCCCAGAGUGCCGGUCGUCUGUCACCAGCGACAGUGAGGGGGCCCAUGUGAAUACCCUACAUUCAGGGGCCAAACGUGACCCCAAAGAAGAUGUUUUCCAGCAGAACCAUUUAUUCUGGCUUCAGAACUCAAGUCCUGCCUCUGAUCGAGUUAGUGCAAUAAUCUGGGAAGGAAAUGAAUGCAAAAAGAUGGACAUGUCUGUAUUGGAAAUAAGUGGUAUCAUCAUGAGCAGGGUCAAUGCAUACCAGCAAGGAGUAGGUUAUCAGAUGCUGGGAAAUGUUGUCACCAUUGGAUUAGCAUUUUUUCCUUUUUUACAUCGACUUUUCCGAGAGAAGAGCUUUGACCAGCUAAAGUCCAUUUCUGCUGAGGAGAUCUUGACUCUGUUUUGUGGGGCCCCACCUGUUACACCUAUUAUUAUUUUGUCUAUAAUUAAUUUUUUUGAAAGAUUAUGUCUUACUUGGAUGUUUUUUUUUAUGAUGUGUGUGGCAGAGAGAACGUAUAAACAGAGAUUUUUAUUUGCAAAACUCUUCAGUCAUAUUACUUCUGCCAGAAAAGCAAAGAAAUAUGAAAUACCUCAUUUCAGACUUAAAAAGGUAGAGAACAUUAAAAUAUGGCUGUCACUGCGUUCCUACCUAAAGAGACGAGGUCCACAGCGAUCAGUUGACGUGGUUGUAUCUUCAGUCUUCUUACUGACACUUUCAAUUGCUUUCAUUUGUUGUGCCCAGGUUCUCCAGGGACAUAAAACUUUCCUGAAUGAUGUUUAUAACUGGGAGUUUUUGAUCUGGGAAACAGCUUUACUGCUUUUCUUACUGCGCCUGGCCUCACUGGGGUCUGAAACCAAUAAAAAAUACAGCAAUGUUUCAAUAUUACUUACAGAACAGAUUAAUUUAUAUCUUAAGAUGGAAAAAAAGCCAAAUAAGAAAGAACAACUUACUCUAGUAAACAACGUAUUAAAGCUGUCAACCAAGUUGUUAAAAGAGCUGGACACACCAUUUAGACUCUAUGGACUGACAAUGAAUCCCUUAAUCUACAAUAUCACAAGAGUAGUUAUUCUUUCUGCUGUCUCAGGAGUUAUAAGUGAUCUUCUAGGAUUUAAUAUAAGACUGUGGAAAAUUAAGUCAUAAACUGAGCCACGUGCCUGGAUUCCUGCCCCGCUGCAUCAGUGCUGACCGCAAAGGAAGGAGCUGGCCUGGACCGCGUGAGCCCACCUGCCAUGACCCUGCACAGGUGCUCCCAGCCCUUCCAGAGAGUUCUCAGAAACUUUCUCAACGGGCUGUGCAUGUGAAAAACCUGGUUAUCAAAACAGUAUGCAUAGCAGCAGACUAAAGACUGUUACAGGAAUACAAGGACAAUUUUCUAAGGAAGCUUAUUCUUGCCACGGUGGAAGAGUGGUCAGUGUUCUCCUUCCUUCACUACCUCAUUCGUCCUGGUCUGAUCACUGCGGAAAACUUGCGCUUAGAUUCCAAGAAAGGGAUGAGAAGUUAAACCAAGAUGUGAAGACAGGUCAAGCUACUCAUCAUUUAAUUGGACUAACUAUAGAAGUGUAAGAAAAAUAACUACUAACUUAAGUUUUUAAUCUGCUGUCACACUGAGGAAAAUCACCCUUCCUGACAUUGCCAUGGAGGUAUGAUCUGCAGACUUCUAAAUGUGUAGAUCAUGGUCCAUGUAGUAUGUUGGAAAAGUUGAAUAAUGAAAGACCUAAUGGCAUGUGGUUUUCUUGACUUUCAGGGACAUGUAGAAAAAGUCUAAAUACAAGGAUGGCUUACAAAGUGCAAGUUUAUUGGUUUGUUUUUUACUUUUGGUUCAUGAUGUUUAGAGGUAAGUUGACCUAUGCACUGUAAAAAUAAGCUUCUUUCAAAUUAAUGAAACUGAUUUUGAAAAAUUUUUAAGGUCUGCAUAUUUACUGUAGGCCAUCUGGGUUUUGCUCUGAAAUGUCAUGUGAUUUGGGAGAUCAAAAAUUCUUAAAUUUAAUCUAACUUAUUACAUGUAUUGACUAGUAAUUUUAAGUACUCUUCUGCUUCUUGCAGUUACUGGUGCCCAUGUUGAAUGAUGAAGUUUGAGUGUCACAAAUGUGCAGUAAUUUUGUAUCUUUCCUGCAGAGUAUCUUGAGCCUUAUAAGCUGCCAUAAGGUAUUGCCCAAGUGAACAAGUGGUUGUCCUUGUAGAAGGUCAAAAUGAACUUUGAGGGGCUGGGGAUUUAGCUCAGUAGUGUAAGUGCCUGGCUGGCAAGCAUGAGGUCGCGACUGCGAUCCUGGCACACAAAAAAUUAAAUAAAUGAACUGUUGGGUUUGUGAAUUUGCUAAUUGUUUGGCUUGCUUUAAUGUUAAAGGUAUUGUUAAUGUUACGAAGUAGACUCAUAUCCACAGGAAUCUUUGUUGACAUAGUAUAAGGCUAACUUGCAGCACUUUUCUGUUUUUUGUUAGAGAGAGAGUGAUUCAGGGCUCUCUAUUGGAAUUCCAUUCCUAAUGAGCCUGCACACUUCCUUCUUGUACCUAAUGGUACUUGCAGAGCAACACUGAAAACAUCCCCAAGUUAAUGGAUAUCUUAAAGUGAUUGAGCCAACUCAGGAUAUAGACUUCAUAUAAUAAUUAUGGCAUGCUUUAAGUAAGUCAUACAUUGCUGGUAAACCCUGAAAGUAGAACCAGAGAAGUUACCUAGGUAAGAUGUUACCGUUUUAAAAGGAUAGAUGGCUUUUAGACAUUGGUGCAUGGCAUGAUGAUGUCAAAAGUUGCUCUGAUGUAUUCCUCUUACCAAACUGGAAAGCUGUAUUUUGUGACAAGCCUGUGUGUGUUCAGUGUUCUGUUCCAGGACCAUUCUAUGGCUAAGCUGCAGUUUAAAAACUGGCAGACUGUCACAGACCUCGAGUUUCAUCUCAAUACUCCUUGCUUUCUUAAAACCCAACUCUGAAUUAGUGGACAUAUUAAACAUGAAACUCGUCAGUCCACAUGCCUUUUAUUUUUUAUGAAAAACGCUUGUUUAUGUUUUUUUUUUCAUUUGUUUGUUUAUGUCCUUUCUUAAUAGCAAGAUACUCUCAUGUAAAAAUAUGCCCCGUGGUCUUUUGGUCCAGGACUCCUGAAAUAGGAGUUGACUGUCAAAAUUGCUUUGAUGUAACCAUGUUUGAAGACAAUGCUUUUGAUCUUAGCAACCUGGUCUUUCUGUUGAGAUUAUGUGGUAGUUUCCCAAAACUGUUCUGCCUGAGUGAUAGGUAAGACAACGUGUCCCCUCUGGGUUGGGGGGACUACCUUGCAGGCGGUUCCUGCAGCUCUGCUGUAACACAUUUCAUCUAGGAAUCAGAGAGUGAGUUUUAUUUUUAGUGUGAGUUCAUGCAGUGGUAGGAAGAAAUUUAUUUUUCUCAAGAGCAUUUAAUUAACCAGGGUUUUAAAGUAGGUUUUAGGUCUUAAUCCAUUUAACUCAGUAUGAACAAGUAGAAACACUUCGUUUUUAAAGUAAAUAAAACAACCUGUAAGAAUAACAUUGGAUUUCCACUGUCUGAUGAAGCAGAAUUUUGUGACCAUGUGGUAAUUAGACUUACAUUGUAGCUAUACAUUAUAACUCUUAGGUAACUGAAUAGUAAGACAAACUAUCUUGGGGCUAAGGAUUUAGCUCAGCAACAAAGCAUCUGCCUGGCAAAUGUGAGAUCACAAGUUUGAUUUCUAGUACAAAAAAAUAUCUUUUUUCCCUAUCUACUGUAAGACAGGUUUCUUUUUUUAGUAGCAAAUGAUUUAAGCAAACAUUUUCUUUACAAUGAAAGGUAAAAAAAUAUAUAUGCCUCUCACAUCUCACAUGUUUAAAAGUCUAGCUGUACAAGUAAAGUCAUAUUGUAACAAUCUUCCUGAGUGUAGGACUUUGAAUGUUUUUUACUUGGAGGACAAAAUCUUUUUUUGAGAACUAGCUCCCCAAAUAGAAAGCAACAUGAGCAAAGCUGAAAGUUGAAAGAAAUUCAGGUCGUGAACUGCUUUUUUUUUUUUUUAAUAUCUAUAUAAAAAAUAACGAGCAAUUUACAGAUCUUUCUCUAAUCAGAACCUCAAGUGUGUGUGUGUAUAUAUAUAUAUAUAUAUAUAUAUAUGUAUAUAUAAAGUACUGUACAUAUAUAAACAUUUACAACCAGGAUAUCCAGCAUGUUUUGCUCAGCAUUCCAAGGCCACAUUGCUAAAUCAGUAUAUAAUCAGUACAGUGACAGGUUACUUAGGGAAGAGCCACAUCAGACAACAUAUGACAUCAAAGUUAUGUCACAGUUAACAAUAAAAAUAGGAUUUGUAUCACUAAUUGUGGACUAUUGGGAAAAUAAGUCAUUUCUCUUACUAAAUUUAUUAGCACUUAUUCAAGCCUCCUAAUUUUGCUCUAUUCAAGUAAUCACAACAGAUGGGCAAAUAAGUCCUGGAUGAAAGGGAAGUCCGACCCUCAGAAGCAUGUGCUAUCUACAGGGACUGAUAUAACUGCUGUGUGAGUUUCACAGUCAGAUCUGCAGAGGGAUAAGACCUGGACAUAAAGUGUUUGACAAGAUGAACUCAGGAUGACAGAAAAAACGUGUUUAAAUCCUCCAUGAAGUAUUUUUACAGUGAAAAUGUGCCUUUAAUCAUAGAUGCUACUGAAUGCUGCUUCAGGGAUUUUAAAACCUGGACCUAUUUUAUUGAGUUAACUAUCUCUAUCUUCCAGUACACAUCUUUAAUUAGACUUUUAAAACUACUCUGAGAAGUUGUACAAGCUAAGCAGAUGUUUAAUCUCCCUUUCUUGUUUUUCAAUAAGAAAGUUAAUGUACUAAAAAUUAAAGAUUAAGCAUGUGCUGUCUACCAUGCUUGUCCUGAGAGCUGGACAGGACCCCGUGGGUGCUGCUUCCACAGGCCUGAUCUUGUCCAUCUGCCCCAUGAGCUGGACCUGCAUCUGGCAUAGGACUGUGAAGCUGGUUUCUAGAUUAAGUCCCUCAAACACUGUAUAUAAUCUGACCCUUCGAUGAUUUUAGUGGCAGAUACAAUCCAAAUAUCCAGGAAUAGCUAAUCGGCAGUUUCUCCUUGAAGAACAGUGAGCAGUACUCCUGCAUGCUGCUCUGCGGUUUCACACUGGGAAAGGGUGACCUGAGAUGAGGUAACUGGUAACAGCCGGGGAGUGAGCUUUGCUGCUUAGAAGGACUUUCUCAUUUUGAACAUUUAGUUGUAAUAUCUGUAACAGUUAUUUGAAACACCUUAUCCAGCCAAAUUAAAAUAAAAAGCUGUAAGAAAGCAUUACUAUUUGACCUUUUGCUUUAAAUUAAUGAUGCUUGGGAGUUUUACUUUUAAACUGGGACUCUUAUCAAUAGAUGUUAGUUUGAAAUGAUAAGCUAACAAUCUCAUCUGCAAGGACUCAAAUAUUUCUCUGUAUAAACAUGCAACAUGCUAUUGAAAACACCAACUUCAAAGCCAAACCUAACUGUUCCAUUACUGCAGAAAUAUCUGAAUGAGGAAAAACAGACAUGAUACAGUAGAUAACUUGGCACAAAUACAAAGGGAGUUGUGACUGCGUUGAUAUCAACAUGUCACUUGUCAGACACUCCUGGAGAUGAGCAGGCAGCCUCACAGAACAGGUCAGAUGGGUAUGGGGACACAGCUUUGUCCUGAGGACGGGCGGGCCGGCAGGCGGCCAGCUAGGACGGUUGAUUCUUAGCAAUCCUAAAGGCCCUUCAUGCAGCCUAGAAACUUGAUGUGCAAAUUAAAAGGUACUUAGGUGUUUCAGAAUCUCUGGAAAAAUGACUUUCUGGAAGAAUGCUGCUUUUUAGUAAGAAAAGAUUACAACUUGUUUUUCUUUGUUUUAUGCUAAAGGUUACAACCGUUUCUCAGCCAUGCCAGUCGUGCCUGUGACUUUGUUUGCACUUGGCACCUUCCAGGGCCCUGGAGUUAUUGGUGCUUUCUUAACUGGAGAGCUGCUUUCAGGUUUGACCCUUCCACUCUCUUUACAUUUGUCAGCUGUCUUUAGUUCUUUCUCUUUGUGAUCUUCUGUUUUAUUUAAUAGCGUCUUUUCUUCAGGUUCCUGUCUCACCUUUUUCUCUGAUAUCUGGACAUUUUCUCCUAUUUUAUCUUUAGCAGAAUGUAUUUCUCCUACAGUUGGUUUCUUUCCUUUUUCAUUUCCAGACACUAUUCUCUUUUUGGAGGCAAGAGACUUCUCAUCCAUUCUUUUGCUUUGUUUCUCUGCAGACCUGGUUUUGUCUUUUCCCAACUGACUUUGCUUCACAUCUUUACUGAUCAGACUUGAAUUUUCUUUCCAAUCUGGGACCUGCUCAGCACUGUCAGUAGCACGGCCUGCUCCUCUGUGACCCUCACCUUUGGGUAAUGUGUCUUCGGCAUUUGACAAGUCCUUGCAUUCUUCAGUUUUUUGCUGCUUCCUUGGGCUAGAAGAGCGUCCUCUGCUUUUUUUGUAAUGAUCUUGUCCAGAAGCUGCUCUGGGGUCAGUCUGAUACCUUUUCCUAGGGCUGAGUGAUCUAUCUCUGGGUCUUCUUUUGGGGUCAUAUUUUGGAGGACAAGGAAGCUUUUCCAAAUGUUCCUCUGAAUAGUGAUGAGCUGACUUUUUGGGACUGACAGAGCCACCUCUUUGUGUGACACCACUGUCUAGUCUUUGUAGACUUUUCUUGUCACUGUGCCCAUGGCUGCUGGGUGGAUCCCUCUUAUUCACAUUUUUUUGGAGAAAAGACUGAUGCUUUAUCUCAGACUGAGUUUCAUUUAAAGUGCUUUUCUUUUCAGGUACAGUGUCCUUUAAUUCUUCUGCCUUUUCACAUAUCUGAACUCUCAUUAGAGAAUCUUCAAUUCCUGGUACAUGAGACUCUUCAAAUAUGGAAGCAGAAUGUGAAGAUGGGGGAAAUGGUGACUGUUCAUCAUAAAUCACAUUGGAAGAUGAAGGAUUAUUAAUAUCCCAAUCACCUAAAAAGUGAUUUGAGUGCAACAUUAUUAAACUUUAAAAUUAUAAAUAGGAACCACAGUUUUGAACUUGGAGAGCCAUUUGAAUUGUACUGACUACAAAAACAGCCUGAGUAUAUUACACAGCUUAUACAUAUUUAGAUAUCUGUCUGUGAAGGCAGAUGUUUAUAGGUAUCUGUUGGUAUAGGAUGGGUAGAUUCUUAUGUAUAUAAUACUUCAUUUUUGUAAUCAUGUAUAAUUAAUAUGUAAUCUAUAAAGCCCAAUCAGUAGUACAUAAGAAAUAAUAAAACUGGACCAAAUUACCUGGUCCAUGAGGCUAAUUAAGGUGUGAUCAAUGGAUUUAUCAAACCACCAAUAAAGAAGAACAAACUGUGAAACCAGAA